CGCAUCUGUGCAUGCAGCAUAUCAAUAAGCGGAGGAAAAGAAACUAACAAGGAUUCCCUCUAGUAACGGCGAGUGAAGCGGGAAGAGCUCAAAUUUGAAAUCUUAAAGGGUUUCCCUUUACGAAUUGUAGUUUAAAGAAGUGUUUUCUGUUGAGGUUUUGGUAAAAGUUCUUUGGAAUAGGACAUCAUAGAGGGUGAGAAUCCCGUAUUUGACCUUUACUUUCAACUUUGUGAUACACUUUCAAAGAGUCGGAUUGUUUGGGAAUGCAGUCCAAAAUGGGUGGUAAAUUUCAUCUAAAGCUAAAUAUUGGCGAGAGACCGAUAGCGAACAAGUACCGUGAGGGAAAGAUGAAAAGAACUUUGAAAAGAGAGUUAAACAGUACGUGAAAUUGUCAAAAGGGAAGCGUUUGACACCAGUGUUGUUUUUCUGAGAAUCAAUUAAAGAACUGUUUAUGCUAAGUUGUUUAGACUUUAUCAGCUAACUGUUUAGUUUUGAGCUUUUCUUUAAUGCACUUUUCAGUUAACAAGUCAACAUCAAUUUCUUUUGCUGUAAAAAAGCUUGAGGAAGGUGGCUUGAGAUUCGUCUUAAGUGUUUAUAGCCUCUUGCCUAUGCAGUCGGAGAGAUUGAGGUCUGCAGCGUAGAUCCUUCGGGGCUAAAUGCAUUUGUGCUAAGUUAUAGCAUUUUAUAGACAACUUGUUGACUAUGAUUUGUCUUGUAGCUUACUCGCUUAUGUUAUUUUACCUACGCUUAGGAUGUUGACAGCAGUAUAGACUGU
rnacentral:rRNA from 1 species